GAGGGUGUUGCACAGCCAAGUGGGUACUGCAUCUCACGUGAGAUGAAGGACAGCGUGUGCUUUACGAGUCCAUGGCAGUGAAGUCCAUUGACCUUCCUGUGAAUUCCUGCCUGCUGAAAAGCUCCUCUUGCCUCUUGUGUUUGUGAGUGAACCAACUACUGGCCGAAUGCUACCUGCUGGAAACAAGCAGCUCUCAUCCUUGAGCAGGUUCUUUGGCUGUGGGUUAACCCUGUCAGGAAUAUCAAAGCAUGUGACAUGCUUGGCCACAGAAGUUGGUACGUGUGGGGUCUCUCACAAGUUCCUGUCAACACUUCAGCAUUGCAGCUCUCCAGAAUGGAUAACGUUGCUGCCAUUCAUUCUGAGUGGCAUCGUGGCCUCAUUUACAUGGGUUUUACGCUAUCUCAGUUAUCUCAACCUUUUGCUACAGUCAGUUCUUCAUUAUCUGAAGGUACAGUCAAUUUGCCAGUCUUAUUCCUCCCAAAGCCAUCGUGCAGUUGAAUUUUCCAUCUUUUCCAGUUCUUUACCUGCACAACCUCCAGGUAAUGUGUACCUCUGGGGCAUGAUGGGAUGGCUACCCCAGGCUUCCCCAAAAUUACUGCUCAGAAGUCAGGCAGUGAUAUAA
rnacentral:lncRNA from 1 species